CCUUCUAUAGCUCAGUUGGUAGAGCGGGGGACUGUAGAUCCCUAGGUCACUGGUUCAAAUCCCGUUCGAAGGA
rnacentral:tRNA from 1 species